rnacentral:rRNA from 1 species
AUUGAACGCUGGCGGCAUGCCUUACACAUGCAAGUCGAACGGUAACAGGUCUUCGGAUGCUGACGAGUGGCGAACGGGUGAGUAAUACAUCGGAACGUGCCCGAUCGUGGGGGAUAACGGAGCGAAAGCUUUGCUAAUACCGCAUACGAUCUACGGAUGAAAGCCGGGGACCGCAAGGCCUUGCGCGGACGGAGCGGCCGAUGGCAGAUUAGGUAGUUGGUGGGAUAAAAGCUUACCAAGCCGACGAUCUGUAGCUGGUCUGAGAGGACGACCAGCCACACUGGGACUGAGACACGGCCCAGACUCCUACGGGAGGCAGCAGUGGGGAAUUUUGGACAAUGGGCGAAAGCCUGAUCCAGCCAUGCCGCGUGCAGGAUGAAGGCCUUCGGGUUGUAAACUGCUUUUGUACGGAACGAAAAGACUCUUUCUAAUAAAGAGGGUCCAUGACGGUACCGUAAGAAUAAGCACCGGCUAACUACGUG